rnacentral:rRNA from 1 species
AGUAGGGAAUAUUGCUCAAUGGGGGAAACCCUGAAGCAGCAACGCCGCGUGGAGGAUGACACUUUUCGGAGCGUAAACUCCUUUUGUUAGGGAAGAACAAUGACGGUACCUAACGAAUAAGCACCGGCUAACUCCGUGCCAGCAGCCGCGGUAAUACGGAGGGUGCAAGCGUUACUCGGAAUCACUGGGCGUAAAGGACGCGUAGGCGGAUUAUCAAGUCUCUUGUGAAAUCCUAUGGCUUAACCAUAGAACUGCUUGGGAAACUGAUAAUCUAGAGUGAGGGAGAGGCAGAUGGAAUUGGUGGUGUAGGGGUAAAAUCCGUAGAGAUCACCAGGAAUACCCAUUGCGAAGGCGAUCUGCUGGAACUCAACUGACGCUAAUGCGUGAAAGCGUGGGGAGCAAACAGGAUUAGAUACCCCAGUAGUCCUGUCUCUUAUACAC